rnacentral:rRNA from 1 species
AGUCGAGCGGGGAAAGGUAGCUUGCUACCUGACCUAGCGGCGGACGGGUGAGUAAUGCUUAGGAAUCUGCCUAUUAGUGGGGGACAACAUUCCGAAAGGAAUGCUAAUACCGCAUACGCCCUACGGGGGAAAGCAGGGGAUCUUCGGACCUUGCGCUAAUAGAUGAGCCUAAGUCAGAUUAGCUAGUUGGUGGGGUAAAGGCCUACCAAGGCGACGAUCUGUAGCGGGUCUGAGAGGAUGAUCCGCCACACUGGGACUGAGACACGGCCCAGACUCCUACGGGAGGCAGCAGUGGGGAAUAUUGGACAAUGGGCGAAAGCCUGAUCCAGCCAUGCCGCGUGUGUGAAGAAGGCCUUUUGGUUGUAAAGCACUUUAAGCGAGGAGGAGGCUACCGAGAUUAAUACUCUUGGAUAGUGGACGUUACUCGCAGAAUAAGCACCGGCUAACUCUGUGCCAGCAGCCGCGGUAAUACAGAGGGUGCGAGCGUUAAUCGGAUUUACUGGGCGUAAAGCGUGCGUAGGCGGCUUUUUAAGUCGGAUGUGAAAUCCCUGAGCUUAACUUAGGAAUUGCAUUCGAUACUGGGAAGCUAGAGUAUGGGAGAGGAUGGUAGAAUUCCAGGUGUAGCGGUGAAAUGCGUAGAGAUCUGGAGGAAUACCGAUGGCGAAGGCAGCCAUCUGGCCUAAUACUGACGCUGAGGUACGAAAGCAUGGGGAGCAAACAGGAUUAGAUACCCUGGUAGUCCAUGCCGUAAACGAUGUCUACUAGCCGUUGGGGCCUUUGAGGCUUUAGUGGCGCAGCUAACGCGAUAAGUAGACCGCCUGGGGAGUACGGUCGCAAGACUAAAACUCAAAUGAAUUGACGGGGGCCCGCACAAGCGGUGGAGCAUGUGGUUUAAUUCGAUGCAACGCGAAGAACCUUACCUGGUCUUGACAUAGUAAGAACUUUCCAGAGAUGGAUUGGUG